GUGGAUGUAGUGCUCAGUCUGGCCUGCCCACUGAAAUUUAAAGGGCUGCGGUAAUUUGACCGUGCAAAGGUAGCAUAAUCAAUAGUCUUUUAAUUGGAGGCUUGGAUGAAAGGUUUGACGGAUGAAGAGCUGUCUCUUUAGUUGUAUUGAAUUUAACAUUUGUGUGAAAAGGCAUUAAUGGUUUAGGGGGACGAUAAGACCCUAUAAAACUUAACAUGUGUGGUGUCGGCCCUUAGAGUUGUUCUAUAAUUAUGGGACGGUCGGAUGUGUUUUGCUGGGGCGGCAGGAAUAUAAUUUGUAACUGUUCUAAGAGGAAAAUAUUGAUUAAUAGAUUUUGGUCCUUUAUUAAGGAGUUAAGAGUAAGUUACUUUAGGGAUAACAGCGUGAUUUUUCUUGAGAGUUCUUAUCGAAGGAAGUAGUUGUGACCUCGAUGU
rnacentral:rRNA from 1 species